rnacentral:rRNA from 1 species
UUGCUGACGACCGGCGCACGGGUGCGUAACGCGUAUACAAUCUACCUCUUACUGAGGGAUAGCCCAGAGAAAUUUGGAUUAAUACCUCAUAGUAUGUUGGAGUGGCAUCACUUUAAUAUUAAAGGUUACGGUAAGAGAUGAGUAUGCGUUCUAUUAGCUAGUAGGUAUGGUAACGGCAUACCUAGGCGACGAUAGAUAGGGGCCCUGAGAGGGGGAUCCCCCACACUGGUACUGAGACACGGACCAGACUCCUACGGGAGGCAGCAGUGAGGAAUAUUGGUCAAUGGGCGCAAGCCUGAACCAGCCAUGCCGCGUGCCGGAAGACUGCCCUAUGGGUUGUAAACUGCUUUUAUACAGGAAGAAACACUCGCUCGUGUCCGAGCUUGACGGUACUGUUAGAAUAAGGAUCGGCUAACUCCGUGCCAGCAGCCGCGGUAAUACGGAGGAUCCAAGCGUUAUCCGGAAUCAUUGGGUUUAAAGGGUCCGUAGGUGGAUUAGUAAGUCCAGGUGAAAGCCUGCAGCUCAACUGUAGAACUGCCUUUGAUACUGCUAGUCUUGAGUCAUUAUGAAGUGGUUAGAAUGUGUAGUGUAGCGGUGAAAUGCAUAGAUAUUACACAGAAUACCGAUUGCGAAGGCAGAUCACUAAUAAUGUACUGACACUGAUGGACGAAAGCGUGGGGAGCGAACAGGAUUAGAUACCCUGGUAGUCCACGCCGUAAACGAUGGUCACUAGCUGUGUGGAUUUCGGUCUGCGUGGCUAAGCGAAAGUGAUAAGUGACCCACCUGGGGAGUACGUUCGCAAGAAUGAAACUCAAAGGAAUUGACGGGGGCCCGCACAAGCGGUGGAGCAUGUGGUUUAAUUCGAUGAUACGCGAGGAACCUUACCAGGGCUUAAAUGUAAGUUGCAUGAUUUAGAGAUAGAUCUUUCUUCGGACUACUUACAAGGUGCUGCAUGGUUGUCGUCAGCUCGUGCCGUGAGGUGUCAGGUUAAGUCCUAUAACGAGCGCAACCCCUGUUGUUAGUUGCCAGCGAGUAAAGUCGGGAACUCUAACAAGACUGCCGGUGCAAACCGUGAGGAAGGUGGGGAUG